rfam:Streptomyces cellostaticus strain DSM 40189 genomic scaffold PRJNA299219_s051, whole genome shotgun sequence.
CUUGACCGAGCCGAGCCACAGCGGCUUCUGCGGGUCCCGGCCACGCCCGUACGUCGCCAGCAGCGCCUGCGCCUC